CAUUUAUUCGUCGUACGUUCAACACUCGGGUGUUAAAGAAUUGUAUAAAAAUGAGAGUUUUAGUUAUAUUAUUGUUAGUGUUCAGUAUAAGUAGUAUAUCGGGAGCUAAUACGAUGAAGGCAGAAGUGAUAACAGAACGUGUUCAUAUUGAUGAAGCUAUCUUCCAGGACAUAUUCCAGUCAGCAUCCAAAAUCUACAAGUUAUACCACGGAGAAUCAACCACGAAGACUUAAUACUAAAUGGUUUGCUGUAGGUAAAUAAAUUAUUUACCAACA